AAAGUACCGCCCGAGCAUGCUCUUGAUGAGUGUAUUACAGUUCCAGUAAAAGGUACAGUCGAUGAUCUCUAUUAUGGACAAGACGGCGAUAAAUUCCGGAAGCCAGCUGCUGAACACCCGUACUUUCUUGAUCACGGAAGGUAUCAUGACCAUCUGACAUAUGACAUUCCUGAGGGUGGAUGCAAACUCUUUACAAAUGUCCGAAGAUUGACGUGGGGGGUUGUCGCUGGAACUGGUGGAACCGAUGACGCUGGUCCAGUGGCUGGACAUGGUGGACCAAGUGGACCUAAUGAUGCUGGUGGUGAUGGACAUCCAGAACGACAACCACUUCACAUUUACGAGAUGAAAGGGUGGGGUAAC